AUCACGUUCUGACACAUGCCAGGAUUCAUGGAAGGAAGUUAGGUUGCUUCCCAGGAUUGGCUGUCUCCUAAAAGUCAAAAC
ensembl:misc_RNA